rnacentral:lncRNA from 1 species
CUUCUUCCGAAGGUAGUUUUCUUUUUUAAAAGCGGAAGGAGAGUUUUGUUUGGAUGAGGCUUUCAGAAACUUGGCACCGAAGUGCAGGCAUUGGAAAGACUCAAUGUGCCCCUAAAGCCGAGUAAGGAAUCUGCAAACGAUGCGGGGCGUAGAAGUCUUGGAUGGAGAGGUGUUUUGACUUUAUCAGUGAGAAAUACUGAAGUAAUAUCAAAUAUUUGUGAUCUGCAAUCUUGGGUUCACAAGAUGUGAAACGACACUUAAGUUGCAAGAUCUUGUAGAAAAGUAUAGCCGGAUUUAAAAUUUGCAUAUGUGGAUUGUGCAGACCAAGUCUUGCAGCAGGUGAUUUGGAGUAAUCCUGGAUUUGCAUAUAAUUACCCCUAGUUCCCUAAGAUUCCAGAGGCUUGGGAAAUUUUGGGGUGACCGUUAAUUUUCAGUUUCAUCUGAGAAAGCCGAUUUGGAGUAACUUGUCACUUGCCAUUUGGUUUGCCUGUGACGUGUCUGGCAACUCUUAAGGAGUGCAAAGAUCAGAAGCUGAGAGGGAAGUUUUCAGAUCUUGUUUAAAAAUAUUUUGGCAGUUUUAAUAGAGAAUAUUAGAUUGCAUAGGAACAGAGGAACCGAAUUUAAAAUAGAU